ACAGGAAGCUAAAGCGGAAAAGGAAACACGAAUGAGAAUAGCAUUAACUACACUCAAAAAAGAUGAUGCCUCAAUGUUGAAUCGAAACUUGACAGAAGAAAUGCACGCAAUGUUGAAAAAUAAAACAAUUAAAUUUUAUGGACCUGAAAUGGACAGAAAUUUAAAAGUAUAUAAGAAUUAUGAGUUGUUAUGCAACAAACAGAUAAUGUAUUCAGAGGGAUACUGUAAAUAUCUAGGAUAUCCCUACAUCGGAUUUUACUACCGACCAAUCAAAAUCGAGUUCAUCAAUAAAUCACCAAGGAUAUUAGUUAUUCAUGACAUAAUCAAUAUGGAUGUGAUAAGUCAUUUUACUGCAAAAUCUUUUCAACUUUCAAGAUCUGAAGUAUUAAAUUUGAAAGGCAGCACCAUUAAUGAUAGUAGUGUCCAGUCUGAACACAGAACAAG